rnacentral:rRNA from 1 species
UACGAAGGGUGCAAGCGUUACUCGGAAUUACUGGGCGUAAAGCGUGCGUAGGUGGUUGUUUAAGUCUGUUGUGAAAUCCCCGAGCUCAACUUGGGAAUUGCAAUGGAUGCUGGCAGGCUGGAGUAUGGUAGAGGAAGGUGGAAUUCCCGGUGUAGCAGUGAAAUGCGUAGAGAUCGGGAGGAACACCAGUGGCGAAGGCGGCCUUCUGGACCAAUACUGACGCUCAUGCACGAAAGCGUGGGGAGCAAACAGG